rnacentral:rRNA from 1 species
CAGUCGUACGCUUCUUUUUCCCCGGAGCUUGCUCCACCGGAAAAAGAAGAGUGGCGAACGGGUGAGUAACACGUGGGUAACCUGCCCAUCAGAAGGGGAUAACACUUGGAAACAGGUGCUAAUACCGUAUAACAAUCGAAACCGCAUGGUUUUGAUUUGAAAGGCGCUUUCGGGUGUCGCUGAUGGAUGGACCCGCGGUGCAUUAGCUAGUUGGUGAGGUAACGGCUCACCAAGGCCACGAUGCAUAGCCGACCUGAGAGGGUGAUCGGCCACAUUGGGACUGAGACACGGCCCAAACUCCUACGGGAGGCAGCAGUAGGGAAUCUUCGGCAAUGGACGAAAGUCUGACCGAGCAACGCCGCGUGAGUGAAGAAGGUUUUCGGAUCGUAAAACUCUGUUGUUAGAGAAGAACAAGGAUGAGAGUAACUGUUCAUCCCUUGACGGUAUCUAACCAGAAAGCCACGGCUAACUACGUGCCAGCAGCCGCGGUAAUACGUAGGUGGCAAGCGUUGUCCGGAUUUAUUGGGCGUAAAGCGAGCGCAGGCGGUUUCUUAAGUCUGAUGUGAAAGCCCCCGGCUCAACCGGGGAGGGUCAUUGGAAACUGGGAGACUUGAGUGCAGAAGAGGAGAGUGGAAUUCCAUGUGUAGCGGUGAAAUGCGUAGAUAUAUGGAGGAACACCAGUGGCGAAGGCGGCUCUCUGGUCUGUAACUGACGCUGAGGCUCGAAAGCGUGGGGAGCAAACAGGAUUAGAUACCCUGGUAGUCCACGCCGUAAACGAUGAGUGCUAAGUGUUGGAGGGUUUCCGCCCUUCAGUGCUGCAGCUAACGCAUUAAGCACUCCGCCUGGGGAGUACGACCGCAAGGUUGAAACUCAAAGGAAUUGACGGGGGCCCGCACAAGCGGUGGAGCAUGUGGUUUAAUUCGAAGCAACGCGAAGAACCUUACCAGGUCUUGACAUCCUUUGACCACUCUAGAGAUAGAGCUUCCCCUUCGGGGGCAAAGUGACAGGUGGUGCAUGGUUGUCGUCAGCUCGUGUCGUGAGAUGUUGGGUUAAGUCCCGCAACGAGCGCAACCCUUAUUGUUAGUUGCCAUCAUUCAGUUGGGCACUCUAGCAAGACUGCCGGUGACAAACCGGAGGAAGGUGGGGAUGACGUCAAAUCAUCAUGCCCCUUAUGACCUGGGCUACACACGUGCUACAAUGGGAAGUACAACGAGUCGCGAAGUCGCGAGGCUAAGCUAAUCUCUUAAAGCUUCUCUCAGUUCGGAUUGUAGGCUGCAACUCGCCUACAUGAAGCCGGAAUCGCUAGUAAUCGCGGAUCAGCACGCCGCGGUGAAUACGUUCCCGGGCCUUGUACACACCGCCCGUCACACCACGAGAGUUUGUAACACCCGAAGUCGGUGAGGUAACCUUUGAGCCAGC